GAUGAACGCUGGCGGCGUGCCUAAUACAUGCAAGUCGAGCGAACAGACGAGGAGCUUGCUCCUCUGACGUUAGCGGCGGACGGGUGAGUAACACGUGGAUAACCUACCUAUAAGACUGGGAUCACUUCGGGAAACCGGCGCUAAUACCGGAUAAUAUAUUGCACCGCAUGGUUCAAUAGUGAAAGACGGUUUUGCUGUAUCUUAUAGAUGGUUCCGCGCCGCAUUAGCUAGUUGGUAAGGUAACGGCUUACCACGGCAACGAUGCGUAGCCGACCUGAUAGGGUGGUCGGCCACACUGGAACUGAGACACGGACCAGACGCCUAAGGGAGGCAGCAGUAGGGAACCGGCGGCAAUGGGCGAAAGCUUGACGGAGCAACGCCACGUGUGUGAUGAAGGUCUUCGGAUCGUAAAACCCGGUUAUUAGGGAAGAACAAAUUUGUAAGUAACUAUGCACGUCUUGACGGUACCUAAUCAGAAAGCCCCGGCUAACUACGUG
rnacentral:rRNA from 1 species